UCCUGCAAGGUCUCUGAGUUGUGAGACCAGCAUUUUUCAAUAGCCUGAGCUAGAAACACUAAAGAAAUCAACCAGUUCUGUCGCCAUUCNUUCCUCUUCCUCUUCCUCCUUCUCCUAUCACACCUUUUGGCCAGCAUGUUGUGACUGUCCAAACCCUUCACUGCGCAUCUGUAUAGCUAUUAAACUGGAUAAUCCCUCUGGCCUUUGAUACAUUUCUGGACAUGAUUAUUUCAUUACAUGCAGUAUAUCAGUAGGAUCAUAAUAAAAAGGACUUCUGACAAUCUGCCAAGAGUUUUGUGGCCUUGUAAACACAAAAGUGCUCUAAUAAAAUUUUAUUAAGUGUUAAAAAGUCAUAAAAAGUGAAAUAACAUAAACUACAAAAUUUACUGUCCUCAGCAAAUGCUGAAAAUAUCGUCCAUAGUAAAAUUAAAUUAGCAUGUAAUAGAGAAAGAGAGAGAGAAAAGCAACGUGGAUUGAAGUGAGGUUUAAAAGAUGCUGGAGAAAUAAUCGCAUUGCAAAGACUAUGUGAGUCAUGAGGAUUUAGUUUACUGAGAUCUUCCUAUUUUUAUUNAGGAAGGAAAAUUUGACUAAAUAUACAGGUUAAGGAUGAGGGUUCUAAGGUCACUUAUGUUCUUGAAGCUGUCGAUACUUUGGUGAGAAAUAAUAUAUUACGGGCAGCGGUAAGAAAGGACGGGCCGCGCAGGAUUUGGUGGCUGCCCCAGCUGCCCACUAGGGUGCGCUGUGUGACUAAGAAUAUCUAUAUGUUCUGUCGAGGCAGGAUAAAGCAAGAUAAUNCCUAUACAUAAAAAAAAAACAAAAAAANCCAAUACCGCCGCCGCCACCACUCCCCCCCGUCUAAAAAAGAAAGGUUUGGAUUUUCUUAGAAACAGAAAAAAAAGCAAAAACCCGAAGUGUAAGGAAAACAAUAUAAUAGCAUGCACACCCUCCGCCUCUUGGGGACAGCAGGGUAUAGAAGCCAAAUCCAGCCAUUCUGGUCCUCCUCACCCAACUUGAACGCCUCCUAAUACACAAAGAGAAGCGAAGAGACCCGCCAGCCCCAUUACUUUUGGUGGGAUUUCGGGGCAACCCUGUGUCUUUGUUUUUCUUAAAACUCAGCCCACCACUGGCGAGGAUAAUCCAGUCCAAGAAACCUGCCAUGCCUUCCAGUUUCCACGUAGAUUUCCAGCAUUCAGAAUCGAUGAAUUGUACAGCUGACUUAGAAAUGCUGUUUGUAAACGCUGUUUUGAACUUCAAAAGUCCUGGAAGUCUAAGGCUGCGUUCCGACACGGCAUUUAAUCAGUUUACAAGGCCGUCUUCAGUUCCCGCUGUCCCGACGUGAUCUUGCCGUUCCGUAAUUUUUAUGGAUUAAAUUGGCGAAAUCCGGAUUACUUUGUCUUCGGAUUUAAUGAACUCUCAAGCCGUUCCAGAUCGCUAGCGCACUUUACUUUGUGCUGUGGGCACGGGGAAAGCGAUUAUUUGAGAGGGACCGUACUGUUUUGGGGGGCGUGCAGAGGGAGGGAUCCCCAUUUUGUGCCNUCCAAUGACAGACUUUGUGGGUGGGCAGGAAGCACAUUAGUUUCCUCUGCCUCCAUUAUCCCCCCUUCCCUCGCUGCCAGGGGAAAAGAAAUCGUCCUCCUUCUUCGCUAAGCUGCGGUCCUGCCAGGAAGAAAUUAAAGGCUUUCUCCACUUCCGUCUGCUCUUUAAAGCAAAAAAUAAACUGCGCCUGUUUGGAGUUUUGCCGUGGUCA
rnacentral:lncRNA from 1 species